GUCCCUGAGAUUUUAAAUUACCCAUCAACCUAGCAUUGCUUCAGUGGACUGGAUGUGACAUUAUCCUUUGCAGCUCAGCUGUGGUAUCUUCCUGACUGAUACUGGUGAAUGGGUUUACAAGUAUCAGCUGCUAGUUUGGCAGUUAGCUUGCUUCAAAGCGAUGUUAACUGUAGGGUGAUGAAUACCUGAUAAAAUGAGCUAAAAGCACUGGGGAGUCCCUGAGCAGGAGCCUGCUAUAUUGAAAAAGAGGCAGUAUCUAAAUAAACUCUAAAAGGUUUCUAGCAGCCAGAAUGUGAAAUGGAAGUCGUCUUCCUUUGGAAGUUUACAUAAUCAUUUAAUUUAAUCCUUCCUGCAGUGUUUCCCAGUGACUGCUUUAGUUCUUUGAUCAUAAUAUGCUAGGACAAAUGUCAGGAAAUAUGAGUCUACAAAGUGAUGUAAAUCUUGUUCCCUAUCGGAGAUGUGACUAUUAGCAUUAUCUUCAUGAUAUUUUCUUUCCCAUGUAUUUAUUUCUGCAAUGUUUUUUCCAGCUCUAAGAUGACAGAGGAAAGCAACAACUUUCAAGCUGAAAAAUGAAGUUAUCUCCUGUAAUGACUUGGGUUCAGGGAGUACUGAGCUUCCACUUCAAGAACACAACUGUGCAAGAGACAACAAUAAGAACAAUACAUACACAAAGGUUGCUCGGAAAGCAAUACCUCCUAUUUUAUUAUGUUGGUAGAUGCUGAUGCUAUGGUAGUAGACCUUCCCACCAACAUUCCAAUGCAUUUUGUUGCUGUGUGACAGAUGGCAGCAGAGGAGCAGUCUGACAAAAUGCCAUCUGACAUGGAAGUGCAGAUGAAUUCCUCCAUGUGGGAAAACUGAUGCCCAUUUACCUUCAUAGACAAUUGCUGAAUGUUUCUGGAUACCCAACAGUGGACGCGAGCACAGUGAGGUGGUGGAUGGUGAGUUUCAGCAGUGGACAGCAACAUGAAAUAUAAGCCAUGUUCUGGGCAGCUAUGCAAAGCAUCUCAAUCAGCUCAUCUGUGUGAAUCAGCAGAUUACAACCAGGGAACUGUGUAUGGAGCUUCAUUGCACUGGAAAUGAUGGCGGUAACACUGAAAUAUUGCUAAGCUUGUGCCACUUGGGUCCCACAAAUGCUCAAAAAGGAACAAAAAGAACACCAUAUGUACCUAAUGAAGAAACACAAGGCUGAAGCAGUUUCCUGGAUUACAUCAUUACUUGUGAGGAAAAGAAGCAUCACCACUACAGAGUGGAGUCAAAACAGCAGUCCACGGGGUGGUGAUGUAAAUUCCUCAUCAAAAGAAGUUCAAUAUGCAGCUCUCAGCACAUAAAGUGAUGUUCACUGUCUUUUGGGGUAGGAAAGGAGUGAUCUUUCUGACUUCCCUGGGACCUGGACAAGCCAUCAACUACAUCACUGCACUGUCUCAGUUGAAGGCUUGAAUUUCUAGAGUUGGGAAAGAGAGAAACACAACCUUUCUCUUGCAACAUGGUAACACCAGGCCUCAUACCAGUUGGAAGACUGUGGAGCACAUUGCCAAUUUUGGUUGGACCGUCCCACCACAAGUACCAUAGAGUCUGGAUUUAUUGCCUUUUGACUUCCAUCUAUUCAAGCUGAAGAAAGCUGGACUGUGUGGGCAGCAUUUUCCUAGCAAUGGCACCAUCAUAGCCACUGUAAAACAAUGGGUCACCUCCUCUGGUGCAGAUUUUUAUGAGCAUAGCAUGCAGGCUCCUGUUCAUGCUGAUGAAAAUGCAUAGCUAAUAGCAGUGACUAUGUUGAAAAAUAGCAUAGGUGUGUAGGUGAGAAUUUGCUCUAUCAAAUAGUAUUAUUGUGCUCUCUGUGUCUGUUGUAGUUUGAAAGAUAAAUAGGAGAAAUUACUUCCAGAGUGACCUACACACAAUGAUCUGCACUUUGUGAAUGGUGGUGUUUGACCAGCACUCCAAUCACUCAUCAAAUGCCUCCUAGAUUUUCCAAAAUUUCCUCACCCAUUUUGUAUGUGCUCAUUGUCCCUCAAGGGCCACAGCCUCACAAGCUUUCUUUAACAACAUGACUUGAUGGUGACUGCCCAUUUUGUCGAGGAUGCAGUGGUUAAACAGAACUUGCUCACAGGACUGGAGACCUCUCUUUGCAUGAAGAAGCUACUGGGCCUAAGAGGAAAUGAAGCAAGUGGGUGUGUGAAGAAGGAAACUUUGGCACUGAUUUUUCAGUGCAAAUUACCAAGCUCAGAAGUGGAGAUGAGGUGCAUUAUUCCCCUUGACCCACCAGACCCUACCAAACCCAUCCUUUUAUCUCUCUCUCCAUAUAUCUGUCUGUAUGUAGCAGUCUGUGUACGGUCUGGCAAAAGCAGAGAGCAAGAAAGCAAUGGUAAACACUCUUUAGGGCUACUUUUAUACUUCAUUCUUAUUCUCUUAUCUACACUGCGACGACUCCUCUAUACAGCCCAGCAGAUAUGACACUCACUUUCCUUUUCCCUCUCUUUCCCUUUUCUCUCUCCCAACAAAACUCCCUCACGAUUAAUAACAUGACUAACAGACCUCAGGGCAAUGAGGGGAUCAGAAAAUGUUUAUUAUUUGAGCUGAGCUGAAGGCAAAUACCACCACCACGGUAGGGCUGGGGACUUGCAGGGUGAUGUUCUGCUGACAGCACAGGUAAAUGCCCAUUUCUGAGAUGUGCCUGGGACCUCCUUGACACUCUGCGACCUGUGAACAGCAGCACGCAGAAGGGGCUCUUUGCCAAGAUUUGCUAUUUAUCAUAUUAAAGAAUAAUUUGGAUAACUGUCACUGUGGUGCAUAUUAAGUGAAGCCAACUCCAUGGUUAUGAAUAUAUUACCAUGUACUCAAGUUUUCUUAUAACAGCUGUAACUCAGCAGCCUGCUGUGCAUCGAGGCUGUGCUGGAACCGCGUGCUUAUUUGGUAUCAUGAAACUAGCUCAAGGUUAUGGGAAAGCCUCCCAUAAACAUCACCCUAUUAUUUUUACAGUUUUGCCAAUGAAUUUACCCUUCUUUCCCAUUACUUUGAGGUACGGAUGCAGCACUGAAACAAGCUGAAGAACAAAGAACUUUAUCCUGUCGUGUUUUUGAAAGCUGAACUUGCAUCCACAUCUCUUUCCAUUCCCUCCGGAGCCCAGGCAGCUCUUUGUGUUAUAUUAAACAUUAGAUAAAUAGCACAGAUCUAAUUAAAAGUUGAAGAAAUGUGCUUCCGUUAA